rnacentral:rRNA from 1 species
CAGCAGCCACGGUAAUACGGAGGGUGCAAGCGUUAAUCGGAAUUACUGGGCGUAAAGCGCACGCAGGCGGUCUGUCAAGUCGGAUGUGAAAUCCCCGGGCUCAACCUGGGAACUGCAUUCGAAACUGGCAGGCUAGAGUCUUGUAGAGGGGGGUAGAAUUCCAGGUGUAGCGGUGAAAUGCGUAGAGAUCUGGAGGAAUACCGGUGGCGAAGGCGGCCCCCUGGACAAAGACUGACGCUCAGGUGCGAAAGCGUGGGGAGCAAACAGGAUUAGAUACCCCAGUAGUCCCUGUCUCUUAUAC